GUCACGGGGGUUCAACCGAUAAAUUUUCCCCACAUCCGACCCAACUUCCCCAAAUCCUUUCCCAAGGCCAACCCAGCCCGCUGCCUAGUUUCCUGCACUUCUUCUCUCCUCCCUCCCUAUUUUCCUUUUUCUUUUUUCUUCUCCGAUGAACUAGGAAAAUCGCGUAAAAGAUGGAAGAUUGGAUGGCGCAAUGAUAGAUCAAGAAGAGAAGGAGAUCAAAUUUCAGUCCUGCAAGAUCUCGGAGACUUUGAGAAAACCUUUUGGAUAUUUUCUUGCUAUCUAUCUCUCCAUUUUCUGUCUUUUGGUUCCACGGUUCUCGGUAUAAAGAUCUCCUGACGCUUCAAAUCUUCAGAUAUAACAGGCUUCCUUUCAGAUCUCUAUUGUGUAGUUUCAAUCACCAACUUCUAGUUGUGAUCUUUCAAUCACGGACUACUACUUGAAGUGAUGAGGAUGCGGUAAAGGAUUGAUUGGAUACAAGUAUUGGGGCAACAUAUGGUUAAGGAUUUUGCAACAUAUAGUUGAACAAAUUGAAAUUUAUUUUCUUUAGAUUUUUGUGGUCUGAUACUGGCAUCUGGUCAUGCCUCUUUCUUUUCCUACUGUUUUGUCUUCUGCACAAGGAUUUUGCAGCAAUCAGUUAGUUUGUGGUCAAAUCUUUAGUUAAGCGAACUAAAUUUUGUUCCAUAAUGAUCCUGUCGUCGAAGAUAUCUCAGAGAGGACACAAACCCCCUUAUCAUCUCAAAAUCUCCUCUCCCCAUGUUUUUGUUCUCUCUUUGAGAUAUCUUAUAUGGAAGCUGGAUGAUUAUCCUGUGAGGACUGUCUUAGAUGUAGAGCAAAAUUUUGUUAAAUUUUGUAAACUUAAUCAUAGAUUUGACCACAAAUCUAGCAAUUGUCAUAAAGUUCUUGUCCAGAAGACAAAACAACAAGAGAAGAAAGAAAAAAAAAAGGGUGUGAUGAGAUGAAAGCAUCAAACCACAUAAAUAUGAAAGAACCGAAGAAAAAAACAGAGUUGGAAGAAGAAAAGGAUAAGAAGACCAAAGGAGUGGAGAAAAAGGAGCAAAACAAAGAUAACAAAUAAUUCAUCUUAAAAUUAGGUGAAUUUGAUUGUGUUGUCACUGAAAACCAAGAUGUCUUAAACUUGGUAUAUAUGUUCAUUAAGAAAACUUUUUCAGUUGUAUUCUUUUUAUUAACCAUUCAUUGCAAAGUCAAGUAGAAUGUUUUAU